rnacentral:rRNA from 1 species
GACGAACGCUGGCGGCGUGCCUAAUACAUGCAAGUAGAACGCUGAAGGAGGAGCUUGCUUCUCUGGAUGAGUUGCGAACGGGUGAGUAACGCGUAGGUAACCUGCCUGGUAGCGUGGGAUAACUAUUGGAAACGAUAGCUAAUACCGCAUAAUAUUGACUAUUGCAUGAUAGUCAGUUGAAAGGUGCAACUGCACCACUACCAGAUGGACCUGCGUUGUAUUAGCUAGUUGGUGGGGUAACGGCUCACCAAGGCGACGAUACAUAGCCGACCUGAGAGGGUGAUCGGCCACACUGGGACUGAGACACGGCCCAGACUCCUUCGGGAGGCAGCAGUAGGGAAUCUUCGGCAAUGGACGGAAGUCUGACCGAGCAACGCCGCGUGAGUGAAGAAGGUUUUCGGAUCGUAAAGCUCUGUUGUAAGAGAAGAACGAGUGUGAGAGUGGAAAGCUCACACUGUGACGGUAUCUUACCAGAAAGGGACGGCUAACUACGUG